rnacentral:rRNA from 1 species
CAGCAGCCACGGUAAUACGAAGGGGGCUAGCGUUGUUCGGAUUUACUGGGCGUAAAGCGCACGUAGGCGGACUUUUAAGUCAGGGGUGAAAUCCCGGGGCUCAACCCCGGAACUGCCUUUGAUACUGGAAGUCUUGAGUAUGGUAGAGGUGAGUGGAAUUCCGAGUGUAGAGGUGAAAUUCGUAGAUAUUCGGAGGAACACCAGUGGCGAAGGCGACUCUCUGGUCUGUAACUGACGCUGAGGAGCGAAAGCGUGGGGAGCGAACAGGAUUAGAUACCCCGGUAGUCCCUGUCUCUUAUAA